AUGAACGCUGGCGGCGUGCCUAAUACAUGCACGUCGCGCGAACAGACGAGGAGCUUGCUCCUCUGACGUUAGCGGCGGACGGGUGAGUAACACGUGGAUAACCUACCUAUAAGACUGGGAUAACUUCGGGAAACCGGAGCUAAUACCGGAUAAUAUAUUGAACCGCAUGGUUCAAUAGUGAAAGACGGUUUUGCUGUCACUUAUAGAUGGAUCCGCGCCGCAUUAGCUAGUUGGUAAGGUAACGGCUUACCAAGGCAACGAUGCGUAGCCGACCUGAGAGGGUGAUCGGCCACACUGGAACUGAGACACGGUCCAGACUCCUACGGGAGGCAGCAGUAGGGAAUCUUCCGCAAUGGGCGAAAGCCUGACGGAGCAACGCCGCGUGAGUGAUGAAGGUCUUCGGAUCGUAAAACUCUGUUAUUAGGGAAGAACAAAUGUGUAAGUAACUAUGCACGUCUUGACGGUACCUAAUCAGAAAGCCACGGCUAACUACGU
rnacentral:rRNA from 1 species